rnacentral:lncRNA from 1 species
UACAUGCAAUUCUUCUCUUCCCAAGGAGUGAUUGGUUGAAGGGAUCUCAUACACUCCUCCUCUGGCCUUGUCCUCAUGCCUGUCCUUAUCAUUUCUGAUUGGCUCGAGGAUGGUCGGAUUCCUUUUGAAACACAGAGUGCGGGCCGCCGAUGUCCUUGGCAGGCUUUUCCACCCAUAAGGCCUGAUCGGCGCAUUUGGGGGUGUUGGGUUUGCGAGAUUGUCGCUCCCUUCCGCUUGGCCCCCUCUCCACCCUGCGUGGAGGCCUUCGUGGGGGGUUCCUGCUAUAGCCAUGCUUCUGGCCGGGUUUCAUGGUCGUAUUGACCUCUUCAUUUCUGUCGCCAGGGGUGGAACGGUGGGAGUGGGCCCUCCUGAAGAGGGCCGGGGGGGCGGCCUUUUUAUGCGAGAGCCUGUCUUCCGACGUCAUGGGUAUGUGUGGGGGAGCCCCACC